AAAUUCGUCGCCGCCGCUGACUCUUUUAGCUCCGGCGAACGGCCGCCUCCGCCACUCUGAAAUCCGGCGUUUCUUCUCUCAACUCCGGCGACUGAUUGUCGCCAUUCCUUUCUCGCAUUCUCUCCCUGUUUUGCGAUCUCUCUCUCUCUCUCGAAAGUCGCCGCCUCUGAAAGCCGCGCCGCCGGCGACGGCCAUUUGGCGUCCUCAUCUUCCCUGCCGUCACGCCCUUCGUCCCACCUCUCUUCUCGUGCUUUUCCUCCCGAUCCCCAAAUUUCAGAAAACACACAUUGUCAAUUGGAAACGAAACGGAGCCCUAAUCCUCUUCUCAAACUCAAUCUGCUGCUUCGCCCAUCCGGUUCCGGCGAGGCCCCGCUGUUAAGCAUUCCAGCGCCGCCGCGCUUUCCUUGGCCGGAAAUCGCCUCUCCGUUGAGCCCUAGCUCUACCUCCUGCCGACGCGGUUAGCCCUAGCCUCCCUCUCUUUUCCUCGCGGUUAGCGUCGACAUCAAACCGGCAUCCGUCCCCGUUCAAUGAAAAUCAGGUACAACAAAAUACCUUGAAUAAGCCUCCCUCCCCUCCUAAAUGCUAAGUUCAGUACUACUCUGCUGUGAAGAAGAACUUCUAGUUUUUGGCAGUUCAUAACUCAACUCUGUUGGCUCCUAUAUUACUAAAGGCAUGUGAUUGCAUCUGUUUGAUAAGAGUUCUUAAUGCAUUUGUCUCAUGAAGAACAUGUAUAUAAACUAACUUGGUGUGAUUGCUAAGUCCCUUUAUGCAUAUACUCAUCUGUAUACUCUGUAUUUUUAUUCAAACAUGUGAUCGAUGGUAUGAUGCAUGCACUGGAUUUGAAUAAGCUGAGCUUAGUAUUUACCUGCAAAUAUUUGGUGAUGGUGGCUGCUGUUAUUGAUAUUGAAUGCAGACGAUGGGGACUCUUAAAGUUGGCAGAGCAGCAGCUUAAUGAAUUCUCUUCACUUUGGUGGCUGAAGGAACAGAGAAUGAAGGCAAGGAGUGUUGGCUAGUAGCCUUAAAGAAUCGAAGAUGGUGGAGGUGGUGGGUGAUUGAGGAGAUGGCUGUGAAUGAAGGCAAGGAGUGUUGGCUAGUAGCCUUAAAGAAUCGAAGAUGGUGGAGGUGGUGGGUGAUUGAGGAGAUGGCUGUCAUAGGGUGGCUGAUUGACACCUAUGUGUACUUUGGCAUGGUUAAAGGGAUGGGAGAGUGGCUUGAAGGCUGCUGUUGCACCUAUUCUGCACACACAUAGCACACGUCCCCUUUCUUUCCGUUUCUUUGGUUUGUUUUUUUGUAGUAGGUAGGAAAUAGGGAUGCAGGGAAUAGUAAGUUGUAAAGUUG
rnacentral:lncRNA from 1 species